GCAACGAAUCUUGCGAGAUCGUUUGAAUAGUAAGAGAUACUUGCUUGUUAUGGAUGAUGUAUGGAACGAAGAUCCUGAAGCAUGGCGUAAAUUAAAAAGCUUAUUGUUGGGAGGUGCUAACGGAAGCAAAAUUUUGGUAACCACACGUAGCAGGAAGGUUGCUUCAAUCAUGGGCACGAGGGGAGGUACUACUGGCUACAACUUACAAGGUCUACCAUUCGAGGAUUGCUUGUCUUUGUUUAUGAAAUGUGCAUUUAAAGAAGAGCGAGAUAAACAUCCAAACCUCAUAAAAAUCGGGGAAGAAAUUGUGAAAAAAUGUGGGGGAAUUCCUCUGGUAGUCAGAGCACUAGGAAGUCUAUUAUAUUGCUCAACGGAUGAACAUGAUUGGGAAUAUGUGAGGGAUAAUGAGAUAUGGCAGUUAGAGCAAAAGGAAAGUGGCAUUUUACCUGCUCUGAGGUUAAGCUACGAUCAAUUGCCGCCUCACCUGAAACAAUGUAUUGCUUAUUGUUCAAUCUUUCCCAAGGAUUAUCAAUUUUAUGGUGAGUCUUUGGUUCAAUUUUGGAUGGCUCAUGGUCUUCUCCAAUCCCAUAAUAAGAAUAAGGAGUUAGAAGAUAUUGGUAUGCGGUACUUGAAGGAAUUACUGUCAAGAUCUUUCUUCCAAGAUUUGAUUUUUGGGAUUUCAGGAAUGGAGACUCUCUCUUUCAAAAUGCAUGACCUUAUGCAUGAUCUUGCCCUGCUAGUGGCCAAAGAUGAAUUCCUAGUAGUGAACUCUGAUUGUCAAUCUAUUCCCAAAAGAGUCCGCCAUUUGUCAUUUGCUGCUGCUAAUGCAUCAAGGAAUGACUUUUCAAGCCUUUUAUCUGAUCUAGGUCGCUUGAGAACCAUUUUCUUUUCAACUGAUGAUGAUGAGAAGACAAGCCAGUCAUUUAUUGAAUCAUGCAUCUCAAAGUCACAGUUCCUAAGAGUGCUAGAUUUAAGUGGCUCUGCUAUUGAGGUUUGUCCAAGAGAGAUGGGUAAUUUGAAGCACACGAGAUAUCUUGAUCUGUCGAAAAAUUAUAAAAUCAAGAAACUUCCAAAAUCCAUUUGCGAGCUACAGAGUUUACAAACACUGAAUCUUGCUGGAUGUUUGGAGCUAGAAGAGUUGCCUAAAGACAUAAGGUACCUUGUCAAUCUCAGAUUGUUAGCGCUAACCACAAAACAGAAGUCUUUGCAAGAGAGUGGAAUAAGGAGCUUGGGUUCUCUUCGUUGUUUGUCAAUUUCUAGUUGCUGGAAUUUAGAACAUUUGUUCGAGGAGAUAGAUCAAUUAAGUGUCCUUCGAACAUUAUCAAUUGAAAGUUGUCCUCGUCUAAUCUCAUUGCCACCUGCUAUCAAAUAUCUUAGCUCAUUAGAGAAUUUGUAUUUGGCUAGCUGUGAAAGCCUUGAUCUUAAUUUGAACAUGGAAAUGGAAGGUGAAGGAAGUCAUCAUGAUCGCAAAAACACAAGGCCUCACAUUCGGAGGGUUUUCAUCAAGGAAAUAACACAGUUAUUAGAACUGCCACAAUGGCUUCUUCAAGGUUCUACUGAUACUUUACAGAACUUGUUAAUUCUUGGUUGUCCCAACUUCAUGGCACUACUAGAGUCACUGAGAAAUUUUGAAGCACUUGAGGGUCUUGUCAUCAGGAAUUGUCCAAAAUUGUCAUCGCUGCCAGAGGAUAUGCAUCACCUCACUACUCUGAAAUCAUUGGCCAUUGCAGGAUGUCCUGCACUGAGUGAACGAUGCAAACCGCCAACAGGUGAAGAUUGGCCCAAGAUUGCACAUAUCCCUGAGAUUUUACUUGAUGGCGAGAUGAUUAAAUCAAGUGAUUAUUAGGUAUGGAUUUUUUUUUCAAUAAGCAUACCACUCUGUUAUAUUUCCUCUUUUCAUGCAGCUUUCUAAUUUUUAAUUUCUCAUACGGCUACACCGUUUAUAGUUUAAUGUUUUGUUAUGUUUACCAAACGAAAACUUGACUUUGAACGUUAGUUAGUUCAAUCAAAUUUGUACUAAUUUAUUUUCUUCUAAUACAUAACUAGUUUGUCAGUACAAAACACAAAAAUAAUAUUUUGGAAACCGCACUGUUCUAGGGGUCAGAUCUGUUUCUAAAUUCAAACAGUUCAGGAUUUUUAAAAAUGGAACUUAUAAUGAGAUUUUUUUUUAAUUAUCUAGUUAUCUUCAUAUGGAAUUUCAAUCUUUGUUAAUACUUUAACUUGUGCCGAAACAUCUAACUAUUCUUCCUCUUAUCCUUUUUUUUUUCCCAAAUAUUGCAGCUUUCUUGGGAGAGGUUCAACCAAACUGCAGGGACAGUGAAAAUAUUACUCUAACGUUGUUCAGAACAGAGCUUCAACGGUUUUAAUGUUGUGUUUUAAAGUUACAAGCAUUAUAUAUUCGUUACGUGUGGUUAUGUAAUUUGCUGAUAAACAAGUACAUUGAGUGAGGUAUAUGUGUGUGCCUGUGUGGUCAUUACUGAAUUUCUCAGUAAUAUUAUUUGCAUUGACUGCAGAUUUGUGAAGAACAUUGAUGUGUUGUGUAAUGGGAACGGUGGUGUCUGUAUUUUGUGCUCUGUGAUUGACGACUUACAUUUGCCCAGGAAGAAAUGAAAACAAAUCGGCUUCUUGAAAUUAACCAUUUAUUCUUUCGAAUGGUAACCUUUUUGUGACAUGAUUCGCAUAUUAAUCAAAAGCAGUUAGCAAACUAAUUAGAUAUUGCAUCGUGAUUCGUGGCCUUGAAGUGAAAUGAGUGAGCAUGUUUGUGGAGGUUUUUGUUUUUGUUUUUUUUUUCCUCCAUAUAAAAUGACUAAUUCGAAAGAAUAUGUAUUGUAAUAGAACCUAGAACUUCUAUGUAUUUUAGGAUGAAAAUUCUGUACAAUAGAAAAUAUUAAAACGAAAAUUAAAGUUGAUAUGAGAAAAUUAAAGAAGCUUGCAACUGCAAUCUAGCUCGACCUACUAUAUAUAUAUAUAUAUAUAUAUAUAUAUAUAUAUAUAUAUAUAAAAUUAAUUGAUCAGGUAAGAUAGAGAGAGACUCUCGGACUCUUUACAAGGAGCAAAAAUGGUAUGAAACUCUGUUUUGAUUAAAAUUCAAUGACUUUCUUCGUAUUAAUCAAAUUAAUUAAUUAAUUAUUUUGGUAAAAAGAAUUUGCCAAUUGUGUGGCGGUCUUGAGACCCUUGACGGUGGUGAAAUUUAUUCACGAUUUCAAAUGAAGACAUGCAGCGGAUGCGUGCGUGCCGUAUGACAUCGACGAAAAAGUAAAGAGUUUGAAUGAAACAAUCCUAAUGUUCACUUUCUUCUUCGAUUUCAUUUUACGACUUAACAAAAACGAGAUGCUCCUGAUGAGGGAAAGGAGAAGAAGACACAGCGAGUUCGCAAGAACGUGUACAGAGGAAUAAGGCAGAGGCCAUGGGAGAAAUGGGUAGCUGAAAUUAGAGACCCUUACAAGGGCGUCCGCGUUUGGCUCGGCACAGCCGAAAAAGCAGCAAGAGUUUAUGCUGACGUCGCUAAGAAUAUUCGUGGCAACAAGGCCUAGCUCGACUUUGCUCACCGGCCGCCAGUAACUCCACCUCCAGGUAAGAAACGCUUCGUGCUAUCCCGUGAGUUGACUCAGCCGAGUUUCGGAGAUUACUUUUUUAUUGGAUGCCCUUUAAUAAACAGCUUUCCUAAUAACAACUGAAGCUCUGUCGAAUCAUCAUAGACAAUUUGUGAUUAGUGGGAGCAUUACAAGAAAGUUACAACUACUUCAAACUGUUAGAUUUGUUAAUAUGAUUCGGCUAUAGUUCUAUAAUUGGUGAGUUUUUGUGGGUUUGUUUGAUUUUUUUUUGUGGGUUUGUUUCUCAUAAUCUUUAUCCAGUCAAAGCAAACGUUCGCCUCUCACAUUGACGGUUAGGCUAGAUGUUUGACCCUGAAUAAGAUGAUUGAGUUUAUUAUAGUCUUCUUAUAUUGUCGGUUCAAUAUCAUUUUGAAAUAUCACAUCAAUUCCGCUUUUGGAGUUUUAAUCCAUGCCCAGUUACGCCUUUAUUUUACUUUUAAGCUGCAACAUUGAGUCACAUUCUUUUUCUGUUUUUAUUACGAUUAGCGACUGGUACAGUGGUAUUUGAACUGCAUAGCUUGAACUGCAUAGACUGUCUUCUCUUUCUGGUUCAGUUUCGACCUUUGGGGCUGUUUUAGACAUGGUAACGGAUAGGUAAUUUCUCUCUACCCCACCCCCCAAUGUAUCAUUAGUCAUCAUUCGUUCUGGUUGGUGGAGAUACGCAUACUAAUUUGGAUUAUUGUCCGUGCCUUCGUCUUUUGUCAAUAAUCUUUUGCAUUUCAGGAUUAGUACAGCUUGUCUACUGGUAAUACUCUCUCAAGUAUACAGGUAAGACUUUGUUACGUUUUCUUGACCCGUAAUCUAAUGUUUUAAGAUGAAGGCAUAAUUGAGCUAUUUUGCUUCUCCAUGCAGGCCUGGUUUGGUUUUUGUGUCACUACCUGCAUUAGAUAUUGGUAGUCAAUGGCUGCAGAUGUACGGGUACCUUUUUGUUUCCCUGACAUAAUCUCACGUUACAUGAAAUUGCUCGUGGAACUGGGAGAUUUUUUAUUUUUUGUUUUUUCAUAUUUACUAAAGAAAAGUGUUACUUUCGUUGGGAAAAAUGCCUACCACUCUUUAUCUCUGUUGCAGUACAUUCUUAACAGGAAAAACUAGCCAUAAAGAUGCAAAAGACAGCAAAAAUUGGCCUUUCAAAGCCUAUUAUGGGAACCGGAUGUUUAUGGGUUAUUGUUGUGUGGUGUGUGAGGAAUUGUAGCUUUCCGUGUUAUUAUACAUAUCAGGAUUUGCAAAUGUUAUCAGUACUUUUUACCUGAUCCAACUGUUUCAACCCUGCAGCUUCUUUACCUAAUCCUAUUUCUUAUUGCGGAUAAGCAGAGGGAAAGCUUGGUGGAUGUAGGCUCUCAUUUUCUUACUAUUAGAUUGUUCUAAAAAUAGAAAUAUUUCCCCUGUUUCUCGAUUUUCAAACAAUUUCUUCUUUCAGGUUGUGGCGAGUGCUGUGCAACAGGGUUCGCCUCUUUCCUUCCUAGUUGCAUUGAGUUUAUUCGCAUGGGCGCAAUCAAGCAAACGAUUAAUGUCGUACAGGUAACUUCAACCCCAUAUGAUGGUAAUGUUCGUUUAAAUAAAUUUCUUGAUGUCUACAAAUUAAGGAAACCUUUGUAUGGGUAAAGUUGACAUUUUACACUGGCAUUAUGGGUCUUGAAAUCGGUCUGUUUCAGAUUCACAUGUUGUGAUAUGCUCUAAUGUUAAAACUCAAACCUCUUCUGUAUGUUAAAUGGAUUGUCGUGGAUAUGCCUGGGAUGAUCAUUUUCUUCGUUUUCACUCAUCGUCUUUGUCAUUGUAGUUAUAAUUGAUUGUGGAGAGUGAAAACGCACUGUGAUGAAUGAAUGCAAAAGCUAUGCAAUUAAGACUACAUUUAUUAGGUUGGUGACCACAAAUAAUCGGAAGGAUAUUCACAAUAGUGUUAUUGAAGCUCUAUAUGGAAUAAGGAGACCAAACCUGUAUGUGAUAAGAGUUGUAUGAAUACCAAAUGAAUUGUCAGAGGAUAUGGUUACUUUAGAUUGCAAUUUAAGAAUGCUUGAGUUCUAAAAGCACAGAAGUGGGAUCAGUCUCUUGCUCGAGGGUAAACUCCUUCGUCAGUUAGUGAACUGUCCAUCAAAAGUAAAUAUUUAUGUGAUUGAGAGAAAUUUUGGAUUUUUGAUGAAAACAAAAAUCCUGUAUGCAUUUGCUUGCCCCCAAGGAGCUGAAGAUUCUCAAAUUGUUUGUAGACGUAAUAGUUCUUCUGAUAUCAUUUGGUUUGCUAAUCUUUCUUGCUCGAAAAUUUACCCGUUGUGUGGUCUUGAUGGUGGGUGAAAUUGAUAUGUGGUUUCAGAUGAAGACGGCAGCAGAUAUGUGUGUGCCAUAUGACAUCGAGAAAAAGCAAAAGCCUUAAAGAGUUCAUCAACAUUUUCCAUUCAGAAGAAUCUGUUUUGUGGUUUUCAUGCUCGAGUGCCUACUUUUCAGUAUGCAAGCAGAGGAUUUGGCAUUAAUUUGGGGAAGCCUUUUUUUUGGGUAUAUGAGUGUGUGCAUUCCUUCAAUCACGUAGCUUUGUGCCAUUAACAUAAUGGCAAUUCCACAAUUGUGAUAAUGAUAAUUUUAUGAUUGGGGCAUAUUGUUAGGAACUCUUCACUGGUUUUUCUUUCCCCAUCUGUGUCUAUGAUUAAGGUUGUUUAAGGUGUUAUGGCUUUUAUUCUGCAAUCAUUGCGAAAGGGACUCACUAGCCGGCAAAUAGUAAAACAUAGUGCUGUCAAAUUUUAUAAGGAUUAUAUAUACAUACUCUUUCGUCUUCAAUGCACCGAAACUGGGGAACCAUCUAUAUGAUUUUCAUUCAGAAAAACCGGCGGGAACUAAUGACUUUCAUGAUUAAAAGUAGGAUUAUCAGAUUAUGGAGCAUUGUUAUGUAACGUUUUAUGGUUAUCUUAAGGCAAAAGUUGGCUUGGAAAUUAACUGAAAGGCAAUAUUCAUUCUAUCAUAAAACAAGUGUUUUUUUCACAAGGGGAGAAGAUUCCCUUUAUAAUUUACUAAUUUAUGCAACCGUUAAUAUUAAAACAAAUUUUUUUUAUAUUAAGGAUGAUGAUUCUUUUUCCCUUAGUAGUAAAGUCUGUAUAUAACAUAUGAUGUAGUAAGCAAGGAAUCAAUUUAUCCCCUAUUUUGUUUUUCUUACUUUUUUUUCCCAAAAUAUUGCAGCUUUCUUUGGAGAGGUUCAGCCAAACUGCUGAGACCGUCAGUACAGAGGUUCAACGGUUUUAUAAUACUGCAUUUUAAAAUUACAUAUAUUAUAUAUUCUGUGAAAUAUGAACUAAAUACUCAGUAUGUGUUAACGCGACAUGUCAUCUGAUAAGCAUUUGAAACAAAAACCGACAUGAGCCAAAAUGUCGUUCUUUGUUUAAGUAACUCACAUGCUUGGCACGUGAGCUGAAGAAACUGGUUUAUCUCUAAAUGACUAAGAAAGAAGUUGUUUUGGGCAUGCUUAAUCAAGACACGUUGCAAGCACGUGACUGAGGCAAGAAGUCUGUUAUGAUUAGCGGGAAAAGCCACUGAGAAGUAAUCCAGAAUCAGUUGAUAAAGAGCUGGGGUUCUGGGUUUUCAAUAUAUAUCAGAAAACUUGAGAGAGAGCAAGAAAGAGGGAAUGCGAGAGAGAGUUGAUUAAAAGGCUUGUAAUCUCCAUUUGUGAUUGUUCUCUGUAAACUCUUGAAAGCAAUAAAGUGAAACCAUAGAGCUUGUUUCCAGUGGAUGUAGGCAUCAUUCAUUUGGUGCUGAACCACUUUAAUCCGUGUGUAUUUUGUGCUUGAUCUUUUUGUUAUUCUUGAAUCUCAGUGGAUUGAUUUCUUCUUGGUUAGUUCUUGAUCAAAACCAGUGAGUUAAGUGUUCUUGGGGUGGGUUUAGUCUUGAUAGAUAGGGCUUAAAACACAACAAAUUGGUAUCAGAGCUACUGCUCUCUGGCUUUAGAUUCAAGAAAUGGGUACCAAGAUCGACCUGGAGAAAUUUAUAGGGCAAAAUGAUUUCAACAUGUGGAAGAUCAAGAUGGAGGCUUUGCUAAUCACUCAAGGUUUGGGAAAUGCCAUCGAACCAGAUUUCAAGAAAGAGGGGCUGGAGGGCUCUUCUUCUACUACUCCUGAACAAGCAGCUGAGAUAGAUAAAAGGGCAAGAAGCACGAUCAUUCUCAGCCUAGGGGAUUCUGUGAUAAGGGAGGUGGCAAAAGAAAGAACUGUUGCAGGGCUAUGGACAAAAUUAGAAAAACUGUAUAUGACAAAAUCUCUUGCAAAUAGGCUGUACAUCAAAAAGAAAAUGUUCUCGUUAAGGAUGAUUGAAGGAUCAUCACUUGAUGAGCACAUUAAUGAGUUCAACAAGGUGUGUGAUGCUCUGGAGACAAUUGAUGAAGGCUUGAGUGAUGAGAGUAAAGCACUACUGUUAAUCAGCUCAUUGCCUAAAUCAUAUGAGCAUUUUGUUGAUGCCCUUUUGUAUGGAAGACAAACACUUUCUUUGGAAGAGGUUAAAUCAGCUCUUGGCACAAAGAAACUGAAAGACAAGCAAGAGAAGGUUGACAGUGAGUCUAGUGAGGGUUUAAUGGCCAGAGGCAGACCUGAAAAGAGGGAAGGCAAAGGAAAGAAGCAUGGAAGAUCUAAGUCAAAACAGAAACAGCUUAAAUGUUUCCAUUGUCACAAGGAAGGGCAUUUCAAGAGGGACUGCCCUGAGAGGAAGUCCAAGAUUAAAGAUUCAAAGGAUAAAGUAGGAAAUGCAGCAAUUGCCACAGAUGAAUCCAGUUAUGAAACAGCUGAAGUACUCAUAGCUUCCAAAGAAAAGAUUCAAGGUGAGUGGGUUCUUGACUCAGGAUGCACCUUCUAUAUGUGUCCAACCAGAAACUAUUUUACAUCAUAUCAAACCUGUGAUGGUGGUAUGGUAUUAAUGGGGAAUAACUCCAUAUGUAAAGUAGUUGGUAUAGGAACUGUGAGUCUGAAAAUGUUUGAUGGUGUAGUGAGGGAAAUCACACAAGUCAGACAUGUCCCUGACCUUAAAAGAAAUUUAAUUUCUGUGGGGAUGUUAGAUCAGAUGGGAUGUAUUGUGAAGGCUGAAAGAGGUGUGCUGAGAGUGAUAAAGGGCUCCAUAGUCAUAAUGAAGGGUAACAAAAACAAUGGCCUGUAUGUUUUGAAUGGACAAACAGUCAUUGGGGAAGCAAGUGUAACUGAGAGUGGUGAGGAUAAAUCUAAGCUCUGGCACUUGAGGUUAGGACAUAUGAGUGAGAAGGGGCUGAAGGAACUGGAAAAGAAAGGGGUGUUUGGGAGAGAUCAGCUGAACUCUUUGGGAUUCUGUGAAGACUGUAUACUAGGGAAGGCUUCCAGGAUAAAGUUUGAAUCUGCAGUUCACACUACCAAAGAAAAGCUUGGCUACAUACACUCAGAUCUGUGGGGACCUGCACAGGUAACCUCUCUAGGUGGCUGUAAAUUUUUCUUGACCUUUAUAGAUGAUUUUUCUAGGAUGGUGUGGGUUUAUGCUCUAAAAACUAAAGUUGAAGUCCUUGAAAAGUUCAAAAGGUGGAAAGUUUUGGUUGAAAACCAAACAAAUCUGAAGGUGAAAGUAUUAAGAACAGACAGUGGGCUGGAAUACUGUAACAAGUUGUUUGAGGAUUACUGUGAGAAGAAUGGUAUUUUGAGGCAUAAGACGGUAACAUACACUCCUCAGCAAAAUGGUCUUGCUGAGAGAAUGAAUAGAAUAUUAAUAGAGAAAGUGAGAUGUUUGCUGAUCCACUCAAAGUUACCUAAAGCUCUCUGGGCUGAAGCCUUAAACACAGCCUGCUAUUUGGUCAAUAGAAGUCCAUCAACAGCUAUAGGCUGUAAGACACUAAUGGAAAUGUGGUUAGGAAGGGUAGCUGAUUACUCUAAGUUCAGAAUUUUCGGCUGUGAAGCAUAUGCACAUGUGAAACAGGGGAAGUUAGAGGCAAGAGCUUUGAAGUGCAGAUUUCUGGGCUAUCCUAAGGGGGUUAAGGGCUACAGAUUAUGGUGUACUGACUUCAAACCUCCAAAGUGCAUAAUCAACAGGGGUGUUACCUUCAAUGAAGCUGAAAUGUUGAACAAAAGAAGGAGUUCUGAGUUUAAAGAAAAGAAUCCAGAAGCUGAAGAUGAUAAGAUUCAGUUGAGGUGAAGCAUGUUGAAGAUAAGAAAUCUGAAACACCUACAACAAAAGAAUCAGGAGAGGUUGAUGAUGGAUCUUAUGAUGAAGAAGGAUCAGAAUCAACUGAGAGUGGUAGUAACACUUACCAACUAGCAAGGGACAGGAAAAGGAGAACAAUCAGACCACCAAAGAGGUAUGCAGUUGCAGAUUUAAUUGUUUAUGCUUUAUCAGCUGUUUUAUUUGCUGUUUUUUGCUGCUAAUUUUUUUUUUACUCUGUUAGAUAGCUGUCAGUUAGUUAACCAAUUUAUGUUACUCUUCAUUGGCUAGCCAAUUAAGAGCCUACAUCUGGAAGUCACAGGUGAUUUUAUUUGAAGGCAAUUUGUUCUAGGCUAUAUGCGGAUUUUUAUCUUGAUUUCUGUAAGCUUGAAGGAGAUUUUUUUAUGCGUGAGAGCUUGAAAAUUAUACAUGUACAUGUUGAAACUAUUGGAUAUAUGUUAAGAAUCAAGCAUAAUUGUGUCAAGAUGAAACCAUAAUUUGGGUGUUGUUUUAUGAGUAAACUAUCUGCAAUUUGGGGGCAGUAAACCUAGGUUGAAUACCAGGACAUGGUAUAAAAGUGAAAUCACACAUUGAAUCUCGCAUAAAGAUUUUAAAGAUGCAAAUUCGAAUUGUACAUGAGAUGUUAUCUUGAUCGAAUUGCAGCGGCUUUGUUUUGGAUCCAGAAAACAAAAUUGUAAGCACAGAGAAGUCUCUAUGGGAUGCUUAUAUUAAGGUACAUAAUGGCCUCAUUGAGUUUUGUGCUGUUGUUCUACGUUGUUUGAGUUUUGUGCUGCUGUUCUUUGUUGCUGCUUUUGCUACCGAUUUUGGCUAUUUUCUGCCACUCUGUUAUUUGCUAUUUUUACUACUUUGGCUGCUGAUUUUUGCUGUUUUCGCUGCUUUAGCUGUUGUUUUAUCUGCUAUUUUUUUUUACAGCUUUUAUUGUUGAUUUUUGCUGUUCUCUAUCGUGUUUUACCCACUGGUUGUCGCAUGUUUAUUAAUAUUGUUUGCAGCUGUUUUAUUUGCUGUUUUUUGCUGCUAAUUUUUUGUUUUCUGUUUUCUGCGGUUAUUUGCUGCCGUUGCUGUUUUACUCGCCAGUUGAUGAUGUUUUGUGGUUCUCCUCCUCGAGUGCCUACUUUUUCCAGUGUGCAAGCAUAUCUGUUGAGAGUGGCUGAUGAAAUCACUAAACUGUUACAGUUGAUCUCAUGCUUCUCUAGAGAAGGAAUUAGACUUAUUUGGGUGAAGGGGUUUUUUCUGGUUUUUAUAUCAAUGUGUGCAUUUCUUCAAUCACGUAGCUUUGUGGCAUUACGAUCGAUAAUGGCAACUCCACAAUGAUGAUAAUGAUAAUUUUGUGAUUCAAACACGUUGUUAGGAAUUAUGUAUUGGUUUUUCUCUCGCCUUCGGUGUCGACGAUGAAGCAUAUAAUGGCUUUUAAUCUGUGCAGAAAAUCAGAAGCUUAUAAAUGGACUGAAAUUCAGCAGAGAUCUAUCAGUCACACACCUUCUCUUUGUCGACGAUAGUCUGGUCUUUACAAAGGCAUCGAUUAACGAUUGCAAAAAUUUAAGAAAGAUCUUUGACAACUAUGCAGCAGCCUCAGGACAUGUGUUUAACUUCGAGAAGUCCUCUAUGUUCUUUAGCAGCAGCACAAGUUCAGGUCAAAGGGAGGAAAUCAGAAGUAUUUUCGGUUUGAAUGUCGUUUCAAAACAUGAAAAGUAUCUGGGACUUCCAUCGAUGAUAGGGAGGAAAAAGACUAGCUUCUUCAACGACAUAAAACUGAGAGUGCUAAGCAAGCUAUCAAGUUGGCAAAACAAGUGUUUCUCAAGUGGGGGAAAAGAAAUACUCAUCAAAGCUGUGGCACAAGCUGUGCCUGCCUAUGCGAUAAGCGUAUUUAAAAUUCCUCAAGGGCUGUGCGAUGAUAUACAAAAGGCUGUAGCAAGGUUCUGGUGGGGAUCAUCCGAAACUCAUAGAAGUAUUCAUUGGGCAAGGUGGGAGAAAUUGUGUCAGGCCAAGAUCAGGGGUGGUCUGGGUUUUAGGGACUUUUCAAGCUUUAAUCAAGCCCUUGUCGCCAAACAGGGGUGGAGGAUUCUACAUAAUCCUGAUGCUUUAAUGUCAAAAAUUUUAAAAGCCAAGUGCUUCAAGCAUACUGACUUUAUGGAGGCAAAAUUGGGGUCAAAUCCCUCCUUUGUUUGGAGAAGUAUAUUAUGGGGGAGACAAGUGUUGCACAAAGGCUUGAGGUGGAGAAUAGGUAAUGGAAACCGGGUCUCAGUGUCCAGCAGGAAUUGGAUGCAAAAACUCGAAUGUUCUAGCUAUGUUCCUCACCAAAAUUUAGCAGAAAAUGUUGUUGUUGCUGAUUUUAUUGACCACAAAAAUCAGUGGAUGGAGGAGAAGGUUGUGCAAUGUUUUCCCGAAGAGGUGGCACAAAGGAUUCUAAGAACCCCUCUGCCAAGAACUCCCCAGGAAGACCGGAUGAUUUGGCACUUUGAUAAGUAUGGCUGUUACUCAGUAAGAAGUGGAUACUAGGUGGCAGUUGGAAUGAAAUUCCUAGAUAAUCCGGAGUGCUCUGAUAGCUCUAAAACUCAAUGGAAGGUGAUUUGGUCAAAUGAGAUUCCAGAAAAAAUAAAAAUUUUCAUGUGGAGAGCUGCUCAGAAUCUAUUACCAACAGCCAAUAAUCUAUGGAGGAAAAAUGUGGUGGGGAAUCCAGCCUGUCAAAGAUGUCAUUGUAAAAGUGAGAAUGUCACUCAUGUGUUAAUGGAGUGUAAGGCUGCUUGGAAAGUCUGGAAGUUGACAGAUUUUUACGAAGAUAUGAAGUUGUUGUCUCAGCAUGACAUGCUGAGUAUGCUCCAAGAACUAGCCUUGAGAAGAAUGAAGGAAGAGAUUGAGCAGAUUCUUGCAAUAUGUUGGGCCAUUUGGUAUGCGAGGAACCGCUUUGUAAUUGAAGGAAAGCAGGAAGAGCCAAAACUGACAGUAGCUAGAGCAUCAGCUAUUGUGGAGUCAUAUAAGAGAAUCAAAACCCAAAACGGUCCAGCUAGAUCAAUUCAUCAUCAAAACAACCAACAAAUUUGGACACCCCCUCCAGAGGGGAAGUAUAAAGUCAAUGUGGAUGCUGCAAUUCAAAUGGCAGGUCUGAAGGCAGGGUUGGGGGCAGUGGUUAGAAAUUCCAAUGGAAAAAUCAUUGUUGCAGCUGUUAAGAAGGUGGGCUUCCAGGGAACAGUGGCAAGCAUGGAGGCUGAAGGAGUCCUCUUUGGCAUUCAAGUUGCCCAACAAGUAGAAUAUUUGCCCAUGAUUAUUGAAUCGGACUCAACAGAAGUGGUGGAGCUAGUCUGGAGCAGGAAAAGCAGCUUGACUGAAGUUUCUUGGACAGUAGAAGAAAUAAAACAACAGCUGCAGAUCUCGAAUGCAUUUUCAUUACAGUAUGUUCCAAGGAAGUGUAAUGCCAUAGCUCAUGCUAUAGCAAAAGUGGCUCUGGAUUUUGAGAAUUCUGUUAUAUGGCUGGAAGAGUUUCCAGUCCAGAUCAUGAUGUUACUCUCAAAGUUUAUCAAUUAGAAAGCUUUACUUUCUUUUCAAAAAAAAAAAAAAAAAAUAUGCAACUGCUGCAAAAUGGACUCACUAGCUAGCAAAUAAUAAUAUAUAGUGCUGUCAAAUUUAUAAAGAUUGUACCAAAUGAUUGUGGUUCAGUUGGCAGCGCAGGCUGAGUUUGUGGAAAGAGCUCUCGGGUUCGAUCCCCACUAAACACACCAUUUGGGAGGGGUAAAGAGCCUUAACUGUGCUACACCCCGAAUCCGGAUUAGUUGGGGCUCAAUGCGGUCGCCGGAUACCGGAUGACUUACAAAAAAAAAGAAAAAUUAUAAAGAUUAUAUAUACACACACUUUCGUGUUCAAUGCACCGAUACUAGAUGUACAUUGGCAUUUAGAAAAGUUGGCGAUAACUAAUGACUUUCAAGAUUAAUUAAAUGACAAUAUUCAGUCUAUCAUAAAACAAGUUUUCAACAAGUGAAGAGGAGGUACUCUUUAUAAUUGGAUAAUUAAUGCAACCUUCAAUAUUUUCAACCAAAAAAAAAAUGAUAUUUGAUAUGUAUUCAACAUUAGGGAAAAACCACCCAUAUCGAAGGUUUGCUUAAAUGAUCAAAUAAAUCCACUUAGUUUCGUAAAUGGUUGUACAUAUCCUCUUUUUGACUAUUUAUUGGGUUAUGUUUGAGAGUUAGGACUAAGUGUGGGAUUAUACUAACUUUGAGAUUAAAUAUUAUUCUAUAUUUAGCAAUUUUCCUUGGAUUGGAUUAUGAGAGACUAAAUUCUAAAUUAGUUGUUAAAUAAAAGGGAUUGGCAAUACCAAUCUAUAAAUAGAUUUAAAUGGGAUUAGAAUAAGAGGAAAAAAUGUUCAUUUGUAAUAUUUCUUUCAUAUAUAACACCAUCUUUUAUUUAUUACUUAAAAUUUAAUUAAUGAGUUAAUUAUUUUAUUCAUCAUUUACUUGAAAUAUAUUUUUUAUUUUGUUUUUAUAUUCUAAUUAAAUUGGUACCUUAAUUUGAUAAUUUGUUACAUUAAUUGAUUGUACUAAAUUUAAUAAUCACCUAUGUAAUAUUAAAAUAUAAUUAUGAAAAUUAAUAAUACUAGUAAUUAAUUGAUUUUAUAAAUUAUUUGUUAAUUUUUUGAUAAAAUAAAAUAUAUAUCUAAAAUAUCUAAAUAAUCAAAAACUUUUAUUAAUUUAUAUUUUUUAUUACAAUUAUGACUACCCAUAAGUAAUUUACUGUAUAUUUAAUGUUCUUAUUAAUUAUAUUUAAAUUAAUCUUAAUUAUUAUUCUUAAAUAUUCAUAAAUAUUUUUUAUUUAAAUAUAAUUUAAUAUUGUCUAAUCCAAUGUUGUACCAAACAUAAGACAGUAGUGUAUAAUCCAACAUAAUACUUAGUCCAAUUUAAUCUUGCUUGCCAAAUGUAAUCUUAUACACUUUGAUUACAACAAGCCAAUAAUUGACUUAAAUAAACUUCUAUAACAAUUAUAAGUUAAAAUUAAAAUAAUAUGAUAUAUAAAAUAAGAUAAAAUUUAUAAAUUAUUUUGAUUAUUAGAAAAAUGAUUUUAACAUUAUUAAUUUGUCAUAUUCUUUUACUACUAAUAAAAUCUGUUUGACAAAUUAAUAAUAUUAAAAUAAUUAUACCUAACAUUCACAAUAAUUUAUAAAAUUUAUAUAUUUUGUUUACAAUUUUUUUUAAUUAUGUCUAUAUUAAUAUAAAUCUUAAAGUCAAUUUUUGGAUUAAUAGAUUUUAGUAUAUAUAAUAAUAACUUAAUAUUAAAAAUAAUUUUCAUUACAUACGUUAUUCUAUUAAUUAUCUUAUUGUAAUAUUUUAUUUGUAUCAUAUGAUAUUUAUUAAUUAUUAUUUUAUCUUAUUACUAUAUUUAUAUUUAUUUGUGUUGUUGUAAUCAAAGGGUAUAGUAACUAAAAAUGUGUUUAUGUGACUAUUUAACCUAAAGGGUCUUUGUGACCAUUUAAGUAAACCUUAGAAAUGUGUGACAAUAGUCAUUCUAAUGACUUUCAAGAUUGAAAAUGAGUCGGAUUAUCAAAUUAUGAAGCAUUGAUAUGUAAUGUUUUAUGGUUAUUUUAAGGUUGAAGUUGGUUUAUUCAUUAAACAAGCUUUUAACAAGAGGAGAAGGUUCCCUUUAUAAUUUAAUAAUUAAUACAACCUUCAAUAACAAAAAAGUCAUAUAAUAAGGAUGAUGAUUCUUGCUCACUUGGAUAAGAUAUAUAUAUAUAUAUAUAUAUAAAUAUAUAUAUAUAACCUAUGAUGUGGUAAGCAAGGAAUCAAUUAUGUAUUUCUUGUAUCUGAAAAAAUGAAUAAUCCUUUAACGAAGGUUAUCAUCAAUUGCAGGUUUCUAGUUUGGCUACUUAGUUUUAGGACUACGAAUAUUACAAUAUCAUAAUUAAAGGAAAGAAUAUAGGCGGUAGUCUUUGCCUGAUCUACUUUCUUCUUUUUAAUUAACCACUUGAAAGGAAAGAAUAUUGUAUACGCAGCACACUAUAAUACUCUAAUUACCAAUUCUUUCUUAUAAUAUAAGUUCAUAGUGAUUAAUUUGUCCUUCUUCAGCAAAAAACAAAUCCCAUUUCAGCACAUCUACAAGAGCCCUCAUUUCUCUUUGCUACAGCCAAUUGAUAGCUGAAUCAUCACAUACACCUUGAGCUCCGUCGAUCAUCAUAGACAAUUGGUGAUUAGUGGGAUAUUACAAGAAAGGUACGACGACUACAAACUGAUAGAUUUGUUUAUAUGAUUCGGCUGAAGUUUUUAUAUAUGGUUAAAUUAUGACAAUAAUCAAGAGAUAAUCAUGUACCUCAUUAGUUUCAUAAAUGUACAUACUAAUUUAUUCCCCUGCUUGCCAGAAUCACACAUGUAGAAUAAGAUAAAUUUUAAGAUUUAAACUUUUCAAUUCAUUAAAAAUCUAGUGGGAUAUUAAUCGGUAAAACCACUUAGGGUAGUACAAGAGGUUGUGAUGCUAGCCAAUUUAUGUGAGUGGAGAAAGAAUUAGGUUUUUUUAAUAAAAAUUAAUAAUCAUAAUAAUUAAAAGAUAUAAAUUUCAAGGUUUAAAACUUUACAAUUCAUUAGAAGCAAGAGGGGAUCCUAAAAACUUUGAAUGUAACGUAUCGGUAGUGGAAUGGAUUUUUUAUUUUUUAUUUUUUGGUUGAGACUAUUUACACACUCCUGGGCUUUGAACACAUAUUAGGGUGAGGGUAUUUUAGUAUUUCACUCACUUCUCAAUAAAAUGUUUUGAGGUGAUGCUACCCCUAAACUACUGAUUGAACCCAUUUACUUAAUAAACACACUUCUAAAAUUUAAAAUACACAAUUUUAUUUUACAAAUCCAUUAAUACCUAAAAUACCCUUAUUAAGUUAAAUUAUCACAAUUUCUCUUAUCAUUUUCUUUUCCCAUCAUUUCUCUGUUUCUUGACUCUUUUCUUCUCCAUUUCUGGAGCUUUAUCCAUAACUUUUUUGUUCCAAAUUCUUAAACUUUUUAUUUUAUUUUUUAAUAGCUAUUUUUCCCCUUGAUAUUUCAUGCGUUUGGAACAACACCCUUAAAAAAUUUUAAUAAACAAACAAUAAAUUAAAAUAAACAACUGAUAUUAAAAUUGCAUAUAAAUUUAUAAUAAAUAAAAAAUUUCAAGGAAUUGCAGCAGUUCUUGCAUGGGUUUUUUUUUUUUUCAUUUUAUUAUAUAGAAGAAAGCUUACUAAGUGAGGAGAGAUCAAGAGAAUUCAUUGUCCAAUUCAAAGAAUUCAGAAAAGAUGAAAUUAGAUGGUGGAAGUCAAGAGGAAUUUUACCAACAAUAAGCUUUUAUCCAAAUGCAUUAAAAAUCAUUGAAACUUCUUUCCGCUAACAAAAGUGUAAAUGACAUAGAAAAAGUGAAUACAGUACAUUGAAUAAUGAAAAAUAUGGGAGAAAGGCGGUAAUUUUUUAUUUAAUUUAAUUAUAUAGUCUUAUGUAUUAUAGUAACUUUCUAUGUGAACAUUUUAGUAACAAAAAAAUUUAUUAAAUAUUGGGUUUAAUGAGUAUUUUGUUGCGACAGUCCCACCCAAAAUUUAAUUACAAAAAUUUCAUCAAAUAUUACAUCCAUUUCUUUUCCUAAAGUUUUUUUUCACCAUUUUUUUCUCUUUUCCUCUCCCUCUCUCUCUCCCCUCAGUUGUCCUCUAGUCCUUUGUGGUUCUUAUAUUUUGAAGUUUCUAUUGGAGUAAAACCUCUUUUAAAAUUUCUUAUCAAAAAAAUUAAAAAAUGAAAGUCUCUUUUAAAAUUUUGCCUUCCCCUUACAAUGGUAUAUUAGGAAUAUUAGCAAUUGCAACAGUGGAGGAGUUGUAACAAAACUAUUACAGAGAUAAGAUUUAAUUGAUAAAAGAAAGAUUUAAUGGAAAGUAGUUAGAGAAACAACUAAUAAAAAUUAAUGAUAUUUAUUAGGGGUAUAUUAAGAAUAUUUGUGGCCGCACCUUCAUCUUAUAAUAAUUUUUUAUAUUACUACAAUAAUAACCCUAAUAUAGUUUAAUAUUAAGGACAACGUAAUGAAAUAAUUGUUAUUCUUAUAUCCAUUAAAGAUAUAUUGUUAUUUCAUAAGAGCGAGAACACUCCAAUGCUCAAGUAACAUGUAGAGAGAACUUUGUCAAGGUAUUUCAAUUGUAUGUAAUGCUCUUUGCUAGUGUACCACGUUUAAUAUUUCAAUCAUGACACGUGGCAUUGCAAAUAAUGGCUUUAUUUCAAGUCUUCGUAGGUACUUCGUAGAUUUGCUCGCUCCAGAGCUAGUAUUAGGUCAUCAUGUGCUUCUUUUACUGAUCCACGUGAUUCCUUUUAUCCACGAACACUCCAAUGCUCGUUUAUCAAGGACACAUGUCUUGUCGUCAAAACAUACUAAAAAUAUGGGCAGCGCUUAACUUACAUUUGGUGUAAGUAACAUUCCGAGAAAAUGAAUCGUUGGAUUCCUCAACUUGCUGAUCCAACGGCUGUGAUGAAAGUUAAAGCAAAAUUAGGUUCAGGUACUGGCUGGAAAUUCAUUUUUAAAAACAAAAGAAUGGCAACCUGCUAAAAUGGUUGUUGAAAAAACCAAGCUAAGGGGUUAGUCGGUAAUGAUAAUUUUAGAGGAAAAUGAUGAGUGACGAGCGGUCGUCCGGAUAUUCCAGAAAAUUCAAGAUAGAAAGUACAGUAAUUAGGUUUUGAAAGAGGGAAAGCAAUAGAAGUAGCAAACGAGAUAACCAAAUUCCUAUUUCAUUUUUUCAGAUCACAAAUUGGGGAAACGAAAAAAAUUACAGCACCACUUGUCAAAAAAAAAAAAAAUUGCAGCACCAUAAAAUCGAAGGUAGAGGCGCUGGAAUGUCACAGAAAAUGCUAAAAUUUGAAGCAUCAUCUUGUCAAGUUGUCUUCACCAUAUAUUUUCCCUCACAUCAUUCCUUGUUAUGGGUGGGUCGUUAUUAUUGGAACACGGUGAUUUGGAAAAAUCCCAGAAUUGAUCCUGAUAAAAGCAUGACAGCAAAAUGAGCAUGGGUUACGGCUGUAAGCGAAGUUUAGUGAAGGGCGCAUAUCAAGGGUUAGGAAUGAAAGGAUGAAAGUAGGAAAUUGGUUAGUUUAUUUUAGUGGAAAGGUAAAAUGUUAAGCAAAUAGAAAGAAAUGACAGAGCAAAUUGAACCGGCUAUAAUGAGAAACACCUGAGAUUGACUUUACCGUUGAUCCAUUUUGCAACUGGUUUCCAACCGGUUUCAACAAGUUUUUAUUACUGUCCCAAAUUGACACGUGUUGCGCUUACAUCAAUUAAUUGGUCAUGUCAAUUAUGUUUCUUACAUAAAUUGUAACGUAAGCUUACCCAAAAAUAGGGAAAUUUACAAAAAUAACCAUAAAACUUUGGCUAUUUUCACAAUUAAUCCUCUCAAUUUUUUUCUAUCAACAUUAGCCAAACACAUGCUUUUCUCCCAAAAUUACCCUUCUUUACAAACCAAAAGCAACUUUCUUUCUCCCCUUCCGUGAAACCAAAGGCAACUUUCCACUCUUGAAUCAUCAACCAACGGCAACGGCAAAAGGCAACAAUAAAAGUGAAAUCCGAUCAUAAUCUAUCUGGAUCCAACACUAAUCGGCAUCACAUAGUGGUAUGAGUUAUUUUCUGAACUUGCUUGAAAGUUUCAGUGAAUUGCGUCGUGGGUGAAUCUGGCGACAGGCUGCCUGUCGCACUAAGUCUUGGUGCGACAGGCGCCUGUCGCACCAAGUUUUAGUAUUUGGGGAGGAGAGAUUCCGCGUUUGUAAAGGACAGGAGAGAUUCCGCGUCACGAGUGUUGUCCGCACGAAGCCUUACCUUGUGGCGGAGGUCGCGUGGCUGGAAGAUUUAGACGCCUUGUCGAAUGACGUGGAGACUUACAUGAAGGACGUGAUUCGGUUGUCGAAUCGGCUGAAUGGAAAGCCGGAGAAAGAGGUUGUGGAUCUGCGCAGGAAUUUAUUUCUGACGCCGUUUUCGUUUUUUGUUGGGAGCACUUUUGAAGGUGCGCCCAGAGAGCAACAAGCUUUGCUUGAGUUAGAAGAUACAGCGGCGAGGCUGAAGAGGGAGAAGGAAACUUUGAGGAACACCCUUAAUUACUUGACUGCUGCAUCGGCUAUUAAAGAUGUGUUCCCUUCGUCAAGUUAGUGACGAAUUUUAAAAUGGCCUGCUUUUUGUUUCCCCCCCCCCCCCUUUUUCUUGUUCUAUUGCAUGAUAUUUGUACAAAGACGAGCUGCCAAGUUGUAAAUUUUCUUUUUUUGAUGUGCAAUGUCUUUUAGCAAUUAGAUGUUCAUAGACAGGUUAAAAUUAGCAAGCAAUUGAUAAUUGAUAUAUGCUUUAUUUCUUUGAUUAAGUUUGUAGUUUUUAGUUGUUCUUGUUUCUUGAACUUGUUGCAGCUGUUCUACAUGUUCGAUGUUAAGUUUCAGUUAAUAUCAGUUACCAGUUACAUUUUAUGAUCAACUCAUAUAGCAAGAGCUCAAUGUUUCAUCUGCAUUAAUUAUAUAUGCGUGCUAUGUGUGUAUUAAUUCAUUCAUCAAUCAACUCUCUUUUAAAAGGUGAAUGGAUCAUGUAGCAAAAGUAUGUGAAAGAUGUGCUUUAUCAUGUAGGGUGGUGCAUUUUCUUUCAUUAUCCACUUGGAUGUUCUGAAAAUUGUUUACUGCCUGCAAAUGUGUUUGAAGUUUCAGGUGAGAAAAUAUAUUUUUUUUCCCCAUUUGUUCAACAGCUUGGAUUGAAGUUAGAGAAUCUACGUGAAUUAUCUCCACAAUUGAAUGUUUCUUUUUCUUUUAUUUUUUUUUCCUUAUUAAAUGAAUGAUUGUGGUGCAUACUUGCAUUGAGUGAGGUUGAUGAAUGCUAUAAUUUCUUUUUUGAGUGUUUCUUGCUUGUUUGUAUCAUCGUAUAAAAUUGUAGUUUUUCUUUUUUCUUUUUUUUUCGGGUGCAUCCGUCUUUUUGAUAUGGCAGAACUUGGAACUCCUGCAACGGUUUAGUGAUUGUGGGUCGUGGUCUGUUUCAUAUCCUGAAAAUAAUUAAUUGACUGGUGAGUGAGAGAACUGAUGUAUACAUAUGAUAAUGGUAGUCAAGCAUGUUUACCCUGUGGGCUGUGCCGCUUUGCCUGUGCAACCCAGACGUUUGACGUAAGGCGAGAAAGAGGAAGAUUAAUCCAUAUUUCAAACAGAAGAAAAAGAGAAAAUGUGCGACAGGCUGCCUGUCGCACCAAGUUUUAGUAUUUGGGGAGGCCUCUAAAUUCUCUUCUCUAUUGCACAUCUUGGAUUUGAGCAUAAAUAUGAUCUCUGGUGACAUCUCCGAUAUGCAGAAUUGGGAAGCCAAUUUGGAGAUUCUUGAUUUAAGUUCAAACAAAUUGGAGAUUCUUGAUUUAAGUUCAGCUUUUACUUGUUGUCGCCGAUGAUGGGAGUUUCUUCAGUUUGGGAGAGAUGGGUGAAAGAGAGUGUUGGAGGAGAGAUGAGAUAGAGGGGUAUUUUGGUCUCAAAUGAUCUUUUAUGGCUAAUGUUGAUAAAAAUUUGUUUGAGGGGUUAUUUUGAAAAAAGUCAAAAUUUUUAUGGCUAUUGGUGUAAAUUUCCCCCAAAAAUAUGACAUGCUAACCCAGAUGCAUUUAUGAAAAAUAACAAUAAAUUAAAGGAUCCCUUAAGUUACCUGCUUUUGAGCCCGUCGCACUCUGUUUUAUUUAUUAAAGCCCUUAGAGUAUCAAAUUCAUUUCCUAUAAUUUUUAAAUUCCCAAAAUACUCUCUAUUUAAUUAAAAAAUAUAAUAAUUAUUAAAUGGAUUAUAAUUAUAAUAAUUAUUUUAUUAUAAUUAUAAAUAUAAUUAUAAUUUUUAAAUGGAUUAAUGAUGAUAAUGAUAAUAAUAAUAAUAAUAAUAAUCUAUUAACAAUAAUUAAUAAUAAUGUUUUAGUUAAAUUGUUAAUAAUAUAAUUAACAAUAAUUACUAUUAUUAAUUAAUUUUUGAAUAAUAAUAAUAAUCACAAUAAUUAAAGUAAAAAAUAAUAAUUAUGAUAAAAACUAAUUAAGGAUUUUAUAGUAAUUUAUUACAUUUAACUCAUUCUGAUUUUAAUUUUAAGACAAAGUAAAUACAUAAAAUGGUAAUAUAGCUCAUUCUAAUUACGAUUUCUGCAGUUCAAGUAAAUAAGUUAUUCUGAUUCUAAUUCCUCAUUUCAAUUCUAUUUAUUCCAAUUCGAACUCAUUAUGUUUCCAGCUAAUUUCGAUUACUGUUUAGUGAAUGCACUAUAAAAUUAUAAACCACUCUAUAUUCAAUUAGACCACUCUAUAUUAUUUACAAUUUAUUCAUAAGUGUUAUGAAACUUUCUGCUUACCUAUACUAUAAAAAUUCAAUUUAUCUCCUCGCAUUCUUUUUCAUUUACUAUUUUUUGUCAAAAGCGUUUCUAUUUACAAUUUUGUUAAUUAUUAGUUUAAUAAUUAUUCAAAAAUAAACUAUUAAUAAUAAUUAUUGUUAAUAAUAAUUAUUAACAAUUUAACUAAAAAAUUAUUAUUAAUUAUUGUUAAUAGAUUAAUUAAUUAUAAUACUUUUUAUUUUUGUUAUUAAUAAUAAUAAUAACAAUCCAUUUAAAAAUUAUAAUUAUAAUAAAAUAAUUAUCAUAAUUAUAAUUAUAAUCCAUUGAAUAAUUAUUAUAUUUUUUUAUUAAAUGGAGGGUAUUUUGGGAAUUUAAAAAUUGUAGGGGAUGAAUUUGAUACUCUAAGGGUUUUAAUAAAAUAAAAUAGAGUAUAAGGGGCUCAAAGAAAUUUUACAAUACAAAAAGUUUCAUGAUACUUAUAAAUAAAUUGUAAAUGAAACAAAGUGCAAGGGGUUUAUUUUACCCUAACAAAUCAGAAAAGACAAAAGCGGCUGUAUGUUACGUGAGCUGUAACUUAGGCAGAUCCUAAAUUAAAAAAGAAAAGGAUAAAAGUGCAAAAGCUAAUUAGUAAUGUUUGAGUUUCAGAUGAUGAAUAUUUAAUUUUAUGGGUGUGAAGAUAUGAAAGAAAAGUGGGUUUAAUGAGGACUAUUUUAUUAUUAAAAGACUACUCAAAAUAAAUUUUAUUUAAAAGUUUUAUUCAAUAAAGUAUAGAGAUCGUCCAAAAUAUAUUUUAGGUACAAAUUAGUCCGUUUGACGUAAUAGUUUGUCUUAUAAUGAGAAUAGCAAUAGUCAAAUCAACUUACUAAGAUAAGAUCUGUCAAAUUUAAUAUUUAAAAUAAAUUUGUUGUCUCAUCAUAGAACACACCGCUCUGCUAUUCGGUAGAGCAUGAUUGGUUGGUAUAGACCAUGGCUUACACAAAUAUUUCUAACAUUUGAAUCCUCAAACCCUCCUAACAAUGCCACUGGUAGGGAUGGACCACAUUUUUCUAAGCUCGGCCCUAAGCCCAUGUUAUUCACCUAUUUUUAAUUAUUAUUUUAAAUAUUAGUGAAUCUGUAAUGUGUUAAUAAUUAACAAGUUGUUAUCAUCAACAAUAAAUUAAAAUUAAUUAUUUUAAAAUAAAAUAAAAAAUAAAGCAAAUAAAAGUUUACAGAUUUAAAUUUUUAGUAUUAGAUCUAUUUCAAGCGUCCUCUUAAUUAAUUAAGGUUUAAGAAAGAGUUUAGUGUCAUAAUUUUAUAUAUUGUUUUUAAUCACUAUUGAUUGAAUUAGGGAUUUAAGUUGUCUUCUUUUAUUUUUUUUAUUAUUAAAAAAAUGGAGGACCUAACCUGUCCUAGACCUUUUUCCUUAAAGAAAAUUUCAUGUAAAGGACCGGACCUAAGCCCACUGGGACUGGGCCAGACCCUUUGAGGCCAGAGGGUAGCCACCAGUCUCUUUUGUCGAUCAUUGCUAACGAACUAGCCCAGUUAAAUAUUUUUAAAUUGAUUGGUCGUAGUUGCCAAUUUCCAAAUAGAACAAAUUUUUAUAGGUGUAUUGGUAGACUGAAUGACAAUUGACAACAUACAACAUAAUUAACAUACUUUCAAAAGAAUUUUUUUUUAAAAAAAAAGAUACAGUGGAUGAACAUAGAAAUCUUGUGCCAAGUUUUGAAAUUCGUCAAUAAUGUAUGGCAGACCCAUGGGGGCUCAAAUCUCAAAUCGAGAAAGUAAUUUUAGAAAAGAGAAAAUUACUUGAGUUACUAAUUAAUUCCUAUUAAGUAUGUUAAAGUAGUCUGUUGAAUUUAUAGCAGUAGCCUUGUAAACUCAUAGAUCUAUAAAAUUUAAGCUUUAACAUUGAGAAAUAUAAAAGUGUAUACUUUAAUUAAUAAAAUAAAAAUCAAUAAUAACACAUAUGGCUAGUUUUAUUAUUAUUUAAUUUAGCCCUAUUAAAUUUAUUAAAAUAACCUCUUUAAAUUUAUUAACCCAUAAAAUUUUAAUUUUUAUAUUUUGUUGUUAUAUGUUUUAACCCUGAUAAUUUUUUUUUGAAUCUGUCACUGCAAUAAUUUCAAUGAUCCUUCAACUUCCCUAACAUUGAUGUUCAGCUGUGUUGACACAAUCACUAUUAUCGUCAUUUUUUUUUUUUUUUACUUUUUCAACAGUCAUAUGCAUUAUCACAAUCAGACAUAAAUUUAAAGCUACUCAUAGAUUAUGUAUAUUAAGCAAAAUUUAGAUUUUUAUCCUCACUAACAAUUGAGAGAUAUCUAUUCUAAGAGAAGGUUUUUGGUGUUCUUGGAAACGUUACUCCUUAUUUAUUUAAUACUUGUCACACGUCUAUUCACAUUCUCAUGAUUGAUUGAAAUAUAUACAUGAUAAAGAUUAAUGAAUAAAAAAGAAACAGUGCUUUAGGAGAUAACACACAAGAAUUUUUCCUACUCCAUCCAGUGGGAAUAUCUACCUCCAUCUAAUUGUAUAUAAUAGGAGGAGGAAUUGUUGAGUCCCCACUUGGGACUCAAGCCAUUGGUCUAUUAACACCCGUUUGCGUUAAAAUUUUGGUUGAAUUUAUAGAAUACUAUAAAUGGUAAAAGAUGCAACCAAAUAAUAUUUCGUGACUCUGUCUUUUCAGUUUUAGGAACAAUGGUGGAAUCAUUUUUGCCGCUUGAAAAACUUACGGAAAAAUUAGGAUCCCGUGCUUUCCAAGAACUUUUAGCACUCUACUGUGUCAAAAAUGACGCAGAAAAGCUAAAGGAGACCUUAACCACUGUCAAAAGUGUGGUUUUAGAUGCUGAGGAAAAGCAAGUCCAUAGCCACCAGUUAAGAGAUUGGCUGGAAAAGCUUAAGGAUGCUUGUGAUGAUGCAGAAGAUGUCUUGGAUGAAUUCGAGGUGGAAGAUCUGCGAAGGCAAGUCAUGAAGCAAAGAAGCAUCGGAAGAAAGUUACGUAACUUUUUUGGAAGCUCAAAUCCGGUAGCUUUUCGUUUUAGAAUGUGUCAACAAAUCAAGAAAGUCGGAGAGAGGUUUGAUGAGAUUGCAAACAUGAUGCAUAAGUUUGAUCUCACUGCACGACUUGAUGAUCAUAGUUGACGAAUUGUGCAUGAAGCGAGGGAAUCUACUCACUCGUUUGUUCGUCCAUCAGAUAUUAUUGGAAGAGAUAAAGAUAGAGAAAAAAUUAUUGAAGCUCUGAUGCAAGCAAGUUCUGGCGAAAGUGAAACUGUGUCUGUUAUUCCUAUUGUGGGAAUUGGAGGUCUGGGCAAAAGUUGGUGUUCAAUGACCAAAGGGUAGAAGAGCAUUUUGAGUUGAAAAUCUGGAUAUGUGUUUCUGAGGAUUUUGGUGAGAGACAAAUUAUGACAAAGAUUAUCAAGUCGAUAACUGGUCAAAACCAAGGUGACUUGGAUAUAGAGCAAUUGCAACGAAUCUUGCGAGUUUGUUUGAAUGGUAAGAGAUAUUUACUUGUUAUGGAUGAUGUAUGGAACGAAGAUCCCAAAGUAUGGGAUAAAUUGAAAAGCUUAUUGUCGGGGGGUGCUAAGGGAAGCAAAAUUCUGGUAACCACACGUAGCAAUAAGGUUGCUUCAAUCAUGGGCAUGAGGGGAGGUACUACUGGCUACAACUUACAAGGUCUACCAUUCGAGGAUUGCUUGUCUUUGUUUAUGAAAUGUGCAUUUAAAGAAGAGCGAGAUAAACAUCCAAACCUUGAAAAAAUCGGGGAAGAAAUUGUGAAAAAAUGUGGAGGAAUUCCGCUGGCAGUCAGAACACUAGGAAGUCUAUUAUAUUGCUCAACGGAUGAACAUGAUUGGGAAUAUGUGAGGGAUAAUGAGAUAUGGAAGUUAGAGCAAAAGGCAA
rnacentral:lncRNA from 1 species